rnacentral:rRNA from 1 species
AUUCAGUUAGGGGUUCGGAGGAAAGGUCCCACAUUGGAACUGAGAACCGUCAAUCUACGGAGCAGCAGGAGGAUAUGUCAUGACGAGUCUGACAGCAGUAGCGUGCAGAUGACGCCUAUGGUGUAAACUGCUUUGUACGGAAUAAAGUGCGGGACGUGUCCCGUUGUAUGUACGUAAGAUAAGACGGCUAAUCCGUGCCAGCAGCCGCGGUAAUACGGAAGGUCCCGGGCGUUAUCGGGAUUUAUUGGGUUUAAAGGGAGCGCAGGCUGGAGAUUAAGCGUGACGUGAAAUGCCGCGGCUCAACCGUGGAAGUGCGUCGCGAACUGGUUUCCUUUGAGUGUAUUCGACGUCAGCGGAAUUCGUGGUGUAGCGGUGAAAUGCUUAGAUAUCACGAAGAACUCCGAUUGCGAAGGCAGCUGGCGAGGCUAUAACUGACGCUAAAGCUCGAAGGUGCGGGUAUCGAACAGGAUUAGAUACCCUGGUAGUCCGCACGGUAAACGAUGGAUGCCCGCUGUAUGCGAUAUACUGUAUGCGGCCAAGCGAAAGCGUUAAGCAUCCCACCUGGGGAGUACGCCGGCAACGGUGAAACUCAAAGGAAUUGACGGGGGCCCGCACAAGCGGAGGAACAUGUGGUUUAAUUCGAUGAUACGCGAGGAACCUUACCCGGGCUUGAACUGCAGGAGAACGAUUCAGAGAUGAUGAGGCCCUUCGGGGCUCCUGUGGAGGUGCUGCAUGGUUGUCGUCAGCUCGUGCCGUGAGGUGUCGGCUUAAGUGCCAUAACGAGCGCAACCCCUGCGACUAGUUGCCAUCAGGUUAAGCUGGGCACUCUGGUUGGACUGCCACCGUAAGGUGUGAGGAAGGUGGGGAUGACGUCAAAUCAGCACGGCCCUUACGUCCGGGGCUACACACGUGUUACAAUGGGAGGUACAGAGAGAUGGUGUUCCGCAAGGCGCAUCUAAUCCUAAAAGCCUUCCUCAGUUCGGAUUGGGGUCUGCAACCCGACCCCAUGAAGCUGGAUUCGCUAGUAAUCGCGCAUCAGCCAUGGCGCGGUGAAUACGUUCCCGGGCCUUGUACACACCGCCCGUCAAGCCAUGAAAGCCGGGGGCGCUUGAAGUCCGUGACCGCAAGGAUCGGCCUAGAGCGAAACUGGUAAUUGGGGCUAAGUCGUAACAAGGUAAAUCACUGGCCGUCGAACCCAC